rnacentral:rRNA from 1 species
AUCUUCAGGCAUACUACCCCAAAUGCUCCUAGUCUCUCUUGAGCUCAAGAGCUAAACAGGUCCAGUUCAACUUAAUGCAUAGCUGGGAAACCGCCUGGGAAUACUGAGAGAUA